CAAUGUAAGUAAAACCUCUCAUUUACAGAGAAACACACUUCACACGUUUAAUGUAAAAAAUGACAUUACUUUAUCAUAAUGCCUGUAAAAUGUUGGACUUGACCACCAGAAUUCACUGAUUGAGAACAAGGAAGAUGGAAGACUACCAUCAUCUACCAGUGGAGGAGGAGGAGGAGAAAAAUGCGGGAGCACCAGCAUCCAAAAGUGUCCCAUAAUCAGCCCCAGGAGGAGAUAUCAGCAGAGGAAAGAAAGACUAAUAACCAAAACAAUGUAAGUAUAACCUUUUAUUUACACAGAAAGACAAUGAACUUUUUUUUAUUGUAAAAAUGUUGUCAUUGGUAAAAAAAUAAAUAAAUGAGAAAUAGAUGUUUGUUUACAGUAAAACCUGUAAAUUGUCCACCACAGUGUCCCACAAUCAGCCACAGGAGGAGACGCCAGCAGAGGAAAGAAACAAUAUUAACCAAAACAAUAGGAACGCCAUCAUCCACUGAUGGAGGAGAAGAAAGAUGGAGGACGGGAGCACCAGCAUCUACCAAUGGAGGAGAAUAAAUAAUUUUAUUAACCAAAACAAUAAUCCACUGAUAGAGAACAAGGAAGAUGGAAGACUACCAUCAUCUACCAAUGGAGGAGCAGGAGAAAAAUGGGGGAGCACCAGCAUCCAAAAGUGUCCCAUAAUCAGCCACAGGAGGAGAUAUCAGCAGAGGAAAGAAACAAUAUUAACCAAAACAAUCAUCCACUGAUGGAGGAGAAGAAAGAUGGAGGACGGGAGCACACAAACAUCUGCACAAGACGGAGAUGAAGAAAGACUUCUAUCAAUCAACCAAAAACAAUGUAAGUAAAGCCUCUUGUUUGAACACACAUUUAAUAUAAAAAUAGAUGUUAAUUACUGUACUAGUGUCUGUAAAAUGUCUUGUGUGUGAUUACAGAUUCACUUCAGAGGAGAAUCAGACUGUUCCAGAUGUUCAUCACCACAGCACAGAAUGAGACAGCAGUAGUAGUAGUAGUGUUUACUCUGACUGCUUUCAUUUCAACUAUAAAUAAAUAAAAAAUAAUAUCUUAAGAAAUCA
rnacentral:lncRNA from 1 species